GACGUAGGGUGCGAGCGUUGUCCGGAUUUAUUGGGCGUAAAGAGCUCGUAGGCGGCUCGUCGCGUCGACCGUGAAAACCCGCGGCUUAACUGCGGGCUUGCGGUUGAUACGGGCGGGCUAGAGUUCGGUAGGGGAGACUGGAAUUCCUGGUGUAGCGGUGAAAUGCGCAGAUAUCUGGAGGAAUACCGGUGGCGAAGGCGG
rnacentral:rRNA from 1 species